rnacentral:lncRNA from 1 species
GUGAGGCAAAAGUAAAGUGUGUGUGUUUGGAGUGGGGAAUCCGAAUUUAACCCCUCCAACACACAUAAACCGAAUUGGGCCUAAACAAUGGGCCCAAAGCCAAAAUACAAUAAAAACAACUCCUAAAUUAAAAAUACAAUCUUCACUUCAACAUAUAUCCUCGACUUCCAUAAUGCCCAAAAUGCCAUUGGUGCCAAAUGUGAUCUGAAAAUGAUAAUAGAUUUA